GUAGUUGCGAAUGAACUCGUGCAUAUGGGCACAAAUGAACUGAAAAAGCAAGCACGACUUAAAUCCAAAAGGAAGAAACAGAGAUUGAAACAGAGAUUGAAACGCAAAAAUAACCUGCACAACAAUCUUGAGAAAUUGAAGGCUGGUGAUCUGAGCAAUCAGGCGGGAUAUGAUGAUAACCAUGACGGUAACCGUGUAGGUGAUAGUGACUUUGUGGUUCAAUCUGAGGGAAAGAGAGAGGGAGAAUUUGAUGGUGUCCCAAAGACUCUUGAGAAAGUUGGGAGUAAUGCUGUUGAGAAACAACGAGGUGGUGAUGAUCAUGCUGGUCUAGGUGCGAAUGAACUCGUGCAUAUAGAUAUAAAUGAACUUGAAAAGGAAGCACAAAUUAAACCCAAAAGAAAGAGACGGAGAUUGAAACGCAAAAAUGACCUGCACAACAAUCUUGAGAAAUUGAAGGCUGGUGAUCUGAGCAAUCAGGCGGGAUAUGAUGAUAACCAUGACGGUAACUGUGUAGGUGAAAGUGACUUUGUGGUUCAAUCUGAGGGAAAGAGAGAGGGAGAAUUUGAUAGUGUCCCAAAGACUCUUGAGAAAGUUGGGAGUAAUGCUGUUGGGAAACAAUUAGGUGGUGAUGAUCAUGCUGGUCUAGGUGCGAAUGAACUCGUGCAUAUAGGUACAAAUGAACUUGAAAAGGAAGCACAAAUGAAAACCAAAAGGAAGAAACAGAGAUUGAAACACAAAAAUAAC
rnacentral:lncRNA from 1 species